CUCCUACGGGAGGCAGCAGUGGGGAAUUUUGGACAAUGGACGCAAGUCUGAUCCAGCAAUACCGCGUGCAGGACGAAGGCCUUCGGGUUGUAAACUGCUUUUGUACGGAACGAAAAGCCUUCUUCUAAUACAGGGAGGUCAUGACGGUACCGUAAGAAUAAGCACCGGCUAACUACGUGCCAGCAGCCGCGGUAAUACGUAGGGUGCAAGCGUUAAUCGGAAUUACUGGGCGUAAAGCGUGCGCAGGCGGUUGUGUAAGACAGGUGUGAAAUCCCCGAGCUUAACUUGGGAAUUGCACUUGUGACUGCACGGCUAGAGUGCGGCAGAGGGGGAUGGAAUUCCGCGUGUAGCAGUGAGAUGCGUAGAUAUGCGGAGGAACACCGAUGGCGAAGGCAAUCCCCUGGGCCUGCACUGACGCUCAUGCACGAAAGCGUGGGGAGCAAACAGGAUUAGAUACCCUGGUAGUCCACGCCCUAAACGAUGUCAACUGGUUGUUGGGAAUUAACUUUCUCAGUAACGAAGCUAACGCGUGAAGU
rnacentral:rRNA from 1 species